UAUUAUCUUUCCAAGGAGGGGAAGGCAAUGUCCAUCUCUGUACCCAGCUUUCACUUUAGAUUUUGUGAAAGAACACCGACACCUGAGAGCAUACCCAAAAUGUCUUUGGUUGCCUUUGGAUGCUGAAGCAUUGCGAUCAUCUGAUGUGUCCCUCGAUGGGCAGGAAGCCUCCUACCUCUCGCUUCAGGUUGCAGUUGAUCUGGAGGGGCAUCCUGGGGAUGGUAGAGCCCAUUAGUGCAGGGUCAGCUUUCUUGCGGCAUGGCAAAUGCAGCAUCUUGCAUCUGAAAGGAGGAGAUGUACUCAGCUUAAGCAGCCGUAGUGCUGCCUCCAGAAUUGUCAGGAAUAACUUGGAGUCAGUUAAUAACCAAAAUCUGUUGAUGCCACUGGGAUGGAGAUGUGGUCCAUAUUGCAAAUGCUUGUCAUUCUUCUCCCCUUUAAAAGUAUGAGGCAGUGGACAUGCAUCUGGUCCUGCCAGCAUUACGAGUGCCGGCCUCCCAUCUGCAGCAGAUAAAAGACAGGGAUUAGAGCUGCAUGCCCUAGCUGCCAACCGUGGAGCUCUCAGCAACCACAAGAUGCAUUCUGGUGUGCUACACAUUUAGCUCUGUCUGCUGGAGAAGUAACAAAGGUCAAAUGAAAGAAAAUAUCACUCAGAAAAAUAUUACCAGACAUGUCACGCAGAACAUCUCUUCUUUCAACGAAUAAAACCAGCACAGAUUCACAACAGAGACCAGGGUCCAAAGUUUCCACAAGGAGAGGGUUGCCCCCUGCCAACAAAUCAUGCAGGUGGGAAAUUCAAAAAUGCUCCGUGCUGUAUAUGGGAAUGCCACUCUGUGCAUUUGCCAGCUUCCUCGGUGGGGCCGUUUGUUUUAUUGGAUAGUAUGGUAAGUGCUGGCCUGGAUUUAAAACGGGAAGAGUCGUGACACAUGCCUACCAUCAGGUGCUCAUCUGACAAGCCACCGUGUCAGCAGGGGGACAGCCAUAACUGCUUCCACGGCCAAGGGUCAGUGCCACUCUGGCACAGCAGAGACUGCUCCGUGCUGAAACCCAUCUGAGCUGUGGGACUUGCACAGAGCUGGAGCAGUCGUUGGCUCCAUGGGGAUCGCGUUUUUGCACAGGAGGAAAGCUCUCCUCCCUUGCUGGACACUAAUGUACAGCAGGAUAGCUGGGGAAUGAUUUCUGAGACAGUUUAAUGAAAAAGCUGGGGGCAAAGAGCCACCGAGCUGCUGUGGGAGCGUACUGGGGGAAUGUGAGAUGUGUAACUCCACACCCACCUAAAAUGAGCUCGCUCCUUGCCCAAAAUGAAGCCAUUCUGAAGCGCCUGUGAGCAGCUGCCCUUUGUUAUCCCUUGAAAUCAUCUACAGCACUGGGUGCAGAGACAAUGUUUCCUGCAUCAUCACCUUGUCCCCACCUUGUAGUGUUCUGUUAACAACCAGGAAAAAUGCCUUUUGGAGUGUGGGGAGGAACUUAGCUGAAGAAAAACACUGAUUUUAAUGGGAGUCAUGCUGCUAAUCCCAGCUGAGCACCUUCACAAAUUGACACUUGAUGUCUACACCUUAAAUAUUUUCUGAGGCGUUGAAGCAGAUAGGCCGGCUUUCACAUUUUUACUAGGCUUGGGAAAUGCUUUACAGUGUUGGUCUUUUUGUUCCUUGAGCGCUGCUAAUAUGCUUUGACACAGUGUGCACACUGGGUCUCCUUUCAGCAGGCCUUUGAGAUAAGCGACUUUCUGUGAGUUUAACUGAGAGUUGGCAGUCAUCAUUGAAGCCACAUUUCUAAAAGCCCCUCCGAACGGGACACGGGCACUGCGAAAUGCAGCCCCGAGCUGUCUCCAGCAGGGCCCCAGCCAGGAUCCGUGGGGUUCAUCAGCUGGGCACAGCAUCGCGCUUCGGGUCUGCGCUGCCUCGGUGCUGUGCUCCCCUGCUUGGUGCUUGCUUGCUGGAAGCAGAGAAAGGCACUCUGUGUGACUGACUUAAUCCGCUGACAGAGACAUCGCUGCUGCUCAUCUCCAGCACCUUGCUGGCAAGUGCAGGGAUGGAAAGGGCUUCUUGAGUCACUGACCUACGUUCCCUGUCUCUGCAGGCUCUACAUAAUGGGAAGCACUCGUGCAUUGUUCAGAGUCCACUUAUGCUCCAGUUCUACUUUCUGGACAGCUAUU